UUGUUACUUAGGACGUUUUGAAAAGUUACGCGAGAUUUGUUUACUGUAUAUAAAAUACACAAACUAGGAAGAUCAAAGUUGAAUAUUACGUGAUUAUUACCUGUUACCUGAGUGAAAAUGAAAUAAGCCUGAAAUGAAUCCCAAAAAAACGAGAAAAACCCGCAGCAGCGCAAUCGACAAGAGCAUCUAGCUGUAAACAAAAAACGAAGAUAGAGCUUCUGUGGCAAGUCGAAUUCAACAAAAGGUUCACUUUGCUGGCAAAGCUGCUAAGUUUCCGGAUAGCAUUCUGGAACGAUUCUCAACCACUUCCAGAAGAGCAGAGAGAGAACCGUUUUGGGUGAAACUACCUCCGUGGAUCAUCAACUAAGGCGCAAGCGAAAUUCAAACAUCGUUCCUGUAGUGGUGAUAAAAGCUGUCCACCUUCAGGAUGGUUACCCCGUCGUUAUCCAAACUUCCGCCGUGGAAGCAGGUUGUGGUGGUGAUUCGGGCAGCGAAUUUCAGUGAAGUCGUUCUCAGAGCUCCCGAGUGAAGUUACCAAGUGUUUGGGAGAAACCGCAGAUGAUGAUUUGGGAAUGGCAAAAUACAAUUUACGGAAGAAACCUGAAGGGAUUCCUUCCUUCAUCAGUCUUCUCAUCCCACUGCAACUGCCGAUAAUUCCAGGCCUAAUCACCACCAAUUUAGCCUAGUGGUAAGUCGUCGGACUGUUGAUCCGGAGGUGCGGAUUUGAUGCCCGUUGGUGGAGAAAAAGCUUUUCGCAGCUGUUUGAGCCGAGGUCUGUACUUGCCCUAUAAGAUACAAAUUCAUAGAAAGCUCUCAGUGCUCUGUGGAAGUGCUCAUAAGAACACUAAGGGGUCAUCCAUAAAGUACGUCACGC